CAUUUUUAAAUGUAGAGAAAUGUCAUGUUCAAAAUGAAAUAUCAUUCUAGACAAAUGAAAUGGUGUUCAAAUGUUGAGAAUGACAUAUGAAAUGUCGAGAAACAUUAUUUUAAUGUAGCUUCUCAUAGAAAUCACUUCUCAAAAUUCGUGACAAAUUGAUAAAAAAAUUAAAUGUCGAAAAUACCAUUUCAAAAUAUAGCUUUUCAUUAAGGGCAUAAUAGGUAAGUUGGCACUAAAUUCAAAUGAGUGGACACUUUUCAACUCAUAACCUUCAAAUUGGACAUUCUUAAAAAUGCCCAUUCUUUUAUUAGAGAUGGCAAGGUUUAGUGAGAAGGAAGUUGACGAAGAGGUACAUUUUUUUUCUUUAAACCUUAGUUAAAAUCAUUCAGAAUUAUGUAGUAUUGUUGUAUUCUCUACUUACAUUUCUUAUUUACUAUAUAAGAAUCAACUUUUAGUACUGACCUAUGCUAGUAAGAGUUGUGGGGAAAAAUGAAGAUUGAAUAUGAGUUAAGGUUGAAACUUUUAAAUUGUUGAGCAUGAAUCAAGGAACUAAAAUGCACAAAAAUCAAGAAUGAAUGAAAAGUUUAGUAUUGUUAUAUUCAUAAUAUUAUUUGUCAAUUUUGUAUUUUGCAAUUGGAAGUUGGGAUAAUGUUUGCAUUUUCAUUUGGAAUAUUGUGUUUUUGUUUUCAUUGACUCUCUUUUCAUAAAUUGUUUUAUAUCAAUUUGACGGAUGUACCUAUAAAAAAUAAUUUAUUUUUGUGGUUAUUAACUUAGCCGAACCGAACCAAACCGAUUUACGUGGUUAUGGUGCGGUUAUGGUAUGACAAAUAAUUUGACGAUUUGGUGAUGGUUUUGGCCGAACCGCACCGAAAUCGAACCGUAGCCAUCCCUCCCCGGGCGUUGUCAACACUCUUUGCAUUACAUUAAGCUCAGUGGAAAUAAUCGUUGGUGAUGUUCCACGAUCUUGCAAAUUGUCAAAGGUAGCACAAACAUUAACAUAUUCCCCAUCAUCAUACCCAGCUAGAAUUUCAGAAUUUAAAAGAAAAGCAUUUAAAGGGUUGGG
rnacentral:lncRNA from 1 species